CCAUCUUGACAGCAUCCUAUAAGUAAAAAAAUUAGUAAUGGUCCACAUCAAUGCAGCCUUCAUUACAAAAUUUUAUUUUUUUGAUAUAUCAAAUGUAUGUAUGCCAUCGGACCAUAAAUAUUUCAGCUCAUCAACAAGAGGUCUUAGAUAUACAUCAAUGCUUCUAUCAGGUUAUCGUAGUCCAGGAAUAACUAAUGUAAGAAAAAUGCUAUGUUCUUUCAUACACAUCCU
rnacentral:lncRNA from 1 species